UCGAACGGUAACAUGGCUAGCUUGCUAGCUGAUGACGAGUGGCGGACGGGUGAGUAACGCGUAGGAAUCUACCUAUUAGUGGGGGACAACCUGGUGAAAACCAGGCUAAUACCGCAUACGCCCUACGGGGGAAAGCAGGGGAUCUUCGGACCUUGCGCUAUUAGAUGAGCCUGCGUUAGAUUAGCUUGUUGGUGAGGUAAUGGCUCACCAAGGCGACGAUCUAUAGCUGGUCUGAGAGGAUGAUCAGCCACACUGGGACUGAGACACGGCCCAGACUCCUACGGGAGGCAGCAGUGGGGAAUAUUGCGCAAUGGGCGAAAGCCUGACGCAGCCAUACCGCGUGUGUGAAGAAGGGUUUAGGCUCGUAAAGCACUUUAAGUAGGGAGGAAGGCCUGUAAAUUAAUACUUUGCAGGAUUGACGUUACCUACAGAAUAAGCACCGGCUAACUCCGUGCCAGCAGCCGCGGUAAUACGGAGGGUGCAAGCGUUAAUCGGAAUUACUGGGCGUAAAGCGCGCGUAGGCGGUUUGUUAAGCGAGAUGUGAAAGCCCAGGGCUCAACCUUGGAACUGCAUUUCGAACUGGCAGGCUAGAGUACAAGAGAGGGUGGUAGAAUUUCCUGUGUAGCGGUGAAAUGCGUAGAUAUAGGAAGGAAUACCAGUGGCGAAGGCGGCCACCUGGCUUGAUACUGACGCUGAGGUGCGAAAGCGUGGGGAGCGAACAGGAUUAGAU
rnacentral:rRNA from 1 species